rnacentral:rRNA from 1 species
UGGGGAAUAUUGCACAAUGGGCGCAAGCCUGAUGCAGCCAUGCCGCGUGUGUGAAGAAGGCCUCGGGUUGUAAAGCACUUUCAGCGAGGAGGAAGGUGGUGAACUUAAUACGUUCAUCAAUUGACGUUACUCGCAGAAGAAGCACCGGCUAACUCCGUGCCAGCAGCCGCGGUAAUACGGAGGGUGCAAGCGUUAAUCGGAAUUACUGGGCGUAAAGCGCACGCAGGCGGUUUGUUAAGUCAGAUGUGAAAUCCCCGGGCUCAACCUGGGAACUGCAUUUGAAACUGGCAAGCUAGAGUCUCGUAGAGGGGGGUAGAAUUCCAGGUGUAGCGGUGAAAUGCGUAGAGAUCUGGAGGAAUACCGGUGGCGAAGGCGGCCCCCCUGGACGAAGACUGACGCUCAGGUGCGAAAGCGUGGGGAGCAAACAGGAUUAGNUACCCUGGUAGUCACGCUGUAAACGAUGUCGAUUUUGGAGGUUGUGCCCCUUGAGGCGUGGNUUCCGGAGCUAACGCGUUAAAUCGACCGCC